AACAACAUUAAUGCCAACUUACUAUCAAGACAACCAUACCCAAUAACACAAAUCCCUUAUACUAUAUGUAGAACAUAUUCAACAAAUGUAAAACCAAUAAUAACAUAACAAUUCUAGCAAUUCAACAUUUCUUAAUAGCAAUGGUUCGAACAACAUUAACACUUACAACAAUGACAAUUAUACACAAAAGCACAAGUUUCAUACCAUAAGUAAAACAUACUUAA
rnacentral:lncRNA from 1 species